AUUGAACGCUGGCGGCAGGCCUAACACAUGCAAGUCGAACGAGUGGCGGACGGGUGAGUAAUGUCUGGGAAACUGCCUGAUGGAGGGGGAUAACUACUGGAAACGGUAGCUAAUACCGCAUACCAUCAGAUGUGCCCAGAUGGGAUUAGCUUGUUGGUGGGGUAACGGCUCACCAAGGCGACGAUCCCUAGCUGGUCUGAGAGGAUGCCCAGCCACGCUGCAACAGAGACACGGUCAAGAUUACUACGGUAGGCACGAGUGGGGAAUAUUGCACAAUGGGACCCAGCCAGAUGGAGCCAUGCCAAGUGUAUAAAGGAAACAUUCGGGUUGUAAAGUACUUUCAGCGAGGGGCCGUUAACCGCAGAAGAAACACCGGCUAACUCGGUGCCAGCAGCCGCGGUAAUUC
rnacentral:rRNA from 1 species